CUGAGAGAGAAACACGAUGGUCGAGUUCAGGUGGAUUACAUUUUCUUUAUUUCUGAUGCUGGUGGGCAGUUUGACAGCAGUAACAGGGAAGUACCCCUCUGUCGCUGUCAGAGUUGGAGAUGAACUAAGUUUGUCUUGUGAAAAUGUGAAACACGAUCAGGAGAGGUGCAACAGUACUACCUGGAUCUUCUUUGGUUCAACAAAGGCAGUACGUCUGUUUGAUCGUGGGCAGAUUCACAAAGAAGCCCAAACUAAAUCAGACAGACUGAGUGUUAGAGAGAACUGUUCUCUGGUCAUCAUAGACAUCACCAUCGAAGACGGUGGUGACUACUUCUGCAUGCAGAUGGAAUCAGGAGAACAACAAGGUCCAGUCACUGAUGUUUAUCUGUCUGUUGUCACCAGUGAGUAUUUACAUCAUAAUGUGUUCAGAUCAAACUGUUGUUGUUGAGUCUCUCUCACAGUAUCUCCAUCUUCACCAGUGACGGAACAUCAGGAGGCUGAUGAUUGGACUUUAAACUGCUCUGCGUCGUAUCAUGGAUGGUGUAGACACACAGUGAAGUUGCUGUAUGAAGGUAAAGAGGUGGCUGAAGAUGAAGACAUGACGACAUCACAGACUAACUGCUCAGCUGCUGUGACAUUUUAUGAUCCCAAGAAGUCAAAGCAUAAUGAGUCCUUUGAGUGUGAAGUGACUGAAAUUUUCACUGGAAAAGUUCAGCAGUUUACCUUCAGCCGUCAGUCCUCAGGAGAGAAAACAGGUGAUGAGCUCAUUAAAAUCACUUCAAAAUAAUUAACUCUUUUUUUUAACGUUUGUUUAGAUCUCAGGUUUUAAUCUUACAUCAUUCUUUGUCAUUCAUUUAAUGCAGAUACAUUAUUGUUUGUUCUAACUAAACACUUGCAUUUUUGCAUUUUGUGUUCAUUAAGGUGAUGAUGCACAAACCACAAUGUCUACAACAACCACAGUGUCAAUAACAGGUAAUAAAUGUACAUCAGUGAAAAAUAAACCAUCAAAAGAUUUAAAAGAAAACAUUUACAAACAACAAUAUUGGAAUUAAAGAAGAAGGUAGAGAGGGAUCAGAACUACAUUCAGUUAAAAAAGGCAAAAGACACCGUCUUGUUUCAGAUAUCAGAGGUAUAGAGACAGUAAAAUAACUCAUGACCAAAGAUCUCAUCAUUAAAACGCCUCUGAUUAUAUUUAACUCCUCUAAAUUCUCUUUUUUUCAGUUAGGUGGCGGUUCAUCAUUGUGUCCGUGGGUUUGUCAGCACUCUUAAUAAGUGUUGUUACAGUCAAUAUGUGGACGAGAACUAAAGGUAAGAGCAGCCACAGAUGAAACAGGAAGCUUUGAUAAACCUGGACUUUCACUGUGCAAACUAAACUUGACUAAAUUUUGUCUUUUCAGAGAACAAAACACAGAGGGAAGAAAACAGGGUGAGUUUGAAACUCAAGUGUGAGCUGGCUUCAGUUUCAGCAGUGGAGGUAAAAUGUAAAACGUGAAAACCCAAAUUUCACAACAUUUGUUGACAAUUUACGUUUCUGCAAAACCACAUAUGUGUAGAAUUAAAAAAAAUGUCAUGUUGUAACUUUAUAUUUCAUCGGGUUCCUUUGUCAAUUUCCCUUUGGUACAAGGCUGUGCUUAUGCUGUGGUCAGGUUCAGGCACCAAAAACACUUGGUCAGGGUUCGGAAAAGGAUACAAAACAUUUCUGUUUUGGUAUUAACAAACAGGGCCCGUAUUCACAAAGACUUUUAUCUUAACGUUAGGAGUACUGCUAAAUCAGACUGAAAGUUUUUCUGUAGGAGUCGUUUCUUGAAAGUAAUUCACAAAGCCGCUGAGACCUACUUUUACUUAUGAAAAGAGUGAACUCCUAAACUAGAAGUAACUCUCUGUUGCUAUGGAAAUCGUGAAUUUAUAAGGACACACUUAGAAGCGGUGACAACGGUGAUAGGUUGUUGAGUGACAGGGCAGCCCAUUGAAAAGUCAUUUAGGCUACGCAAUGCAUGAAGUGAAAAUAAGGAAGUUGCCUAUUAGCCCAUGACAAAUUAGAAGAUUGCAAUGAAAAAUGCGAAUUGUCUUGAAUCAAAAUUUGGGAAUUCGCAACAAGGUCCGGUGUGUUGUAAUGUGCGUCAAAGACAAUUUGUGUAUUGACAAAGACGUCUUCAUUCUGAGAAGGAGCAAUUAUUUUAAUAUGCGUCCACUCAUCAACUGCAACGAUCACACCGGGUAUACCUGCAAUUUCCAUGAAUUUGGCUUUGAUUCUUUGUUGUUGGUGAUUGUCUAAAGGAAACCAGAUAAACUGAUGGAUUAUAUGAGGUCUACAGGUGGCGUUGAUGGUUUGGUAGAGAGCGGCUUACUGAUGGCUGUGAUAUCCCUAAAUUAUCCGCGUUGCAGAGCUGCAUUUUCCGCGUAGCCAAAUACUGGAUUUAUUACAUUUAUUUACGCCGGAGUUACAUUUGAACUCCGGCGUUAUUGGAUUGUUUCGGUUGGUUGGGGGCGUUAUUGCGUCCCUCACCAACUCAACCACAACUUCAGUCCCUUUGCGGUCCAUCCUACAUCGUUUUAAUAAUUCCCUGUCAUUCAGCGUCUCCAAAACAUUCGGCUGUGACUAGGUCUUAGCGAGUUAGGAGUCCUCUGGACUAUUUCUAAGGUCUCCCAUUAUUUUUAGGAGUUGCUCCUAAAUUUGCCUGUUAGGAGCUACUUUUAGCCUUAAGAUUCUUUGUGAAUAUGGGCCCAGAUGUCCAAACUUCCUGUCACAAAUGAGAAGAGUUGGACCAGAUCUCAUUAUUUUGACCCAAAUUAAAAGACCGUUUGACGAAAUUGAUAACAGCCCAAAAGUAAAAGUAUUUGAAAAUGUGUUCAUGUGAAGUGUUUGUCUCAGUAGAGCAUCACAGUUUAAAGUUUAAGGCCACUGAUCAAGCUACCGGAUUUCAUGAACUGGAAGUGAGAAAGUGCUGACAGUGCUGUGCAUACGGUCUGGUUAGGUUUAGGCACCAAAUCCACUUUUAGUUUGAGUUCUGGAAAGAUCCUGUUUUGGCUUAAAACACCAAUUCAUGUCACCUCAAAUACAACUGGUACUUGUGGCAGGGUUUCUUAAAAAAUGUUCAGCGCUGCCACGCUUACAAAUGUUGAAACAUCAGCUCGAUCUCCUCAGGACUCCCAGAUAUGAAAGUCUGGCCAUUAGAAUGUAAUGUGAAUGUGAUAUGAGCCAUUUGGUGGAAAUGUCAGUAUUGUAAAUAGCUUCAUGACACACACACAUGUGAAAGUAUCAGUGGUUUGCAGUAAUGUUAACUGCCAUAAUUUUACUCUGGCGACUGGGUACGCAGUCUUUUGUACUGUAUGUAUGUAUCAGGUAGUGAAACGUAGACCUCUGAAAGUGAAAAGUAAAC
ensembl:lncRNA